rnacentral:rRNA from 1 species
AGAGUUUGAUCCUGGCUCAGAAUCAACGCUGGCGGCGUGCCUAACACAUGCAAGUCGAACGAGAUAGCAAUACCUAGUGGCAGACGGGUGAGUAACACGUAGUCAACCUACCUUUUAGUGGGGGAUAACUAGCCGAAAGGUUAGCUAAUACCGCAUACGAUCUUCGAGAGGCAUCUUUUGAAGAUGAAAGCAGCAAUGCG